CCUACGGGGGGCAGCAGUGGGGAAUAUUGCACAAUGGGGGAAACCCUGAUGCAGCGACGCCGCGUGAGCGAAGAAGUAUUUCGGUAUGUAAAGCUCUAUCAGCAGGGAAGAAAAUGACGGUACCUGAUUAAGAAGCCGCGGCUAACUACGAGCCAGCAGCCGCGGUAAUACGUAGGGGGCAAGCUUUAUCCGGAUUUACUGGGUGUAAAGGGAGCGUAGACGGCGGUGCAAGUCAGAUGUGAAAGGCCGGGGCUCAACCCCGGGACUGCAGUUGAAACUGUGCUGCUAGAGUGUCGGAGAGGCAGGCGGAAUUCCUAGUGUAGCGGUGAAAUGCGUAGAUAUUAGGAGGAACACCAGUGGCGAAGGCGGGUUCCUGGACAUUAACUGACGCUGAGGCACGAAGGCCAGGGGAGCGAAAGGGAUUAGAUACCCCGGUAGUC
rnacentral:rRNA from 1 species